rnacentral:lncRNA from 1 species
GUGCAUGACCUCAGAUUUUUUCUUUCGUCGGUCGAUGCUUGAGAUCAACGGCCAAGCGGUGCUCCAUGACUUCCAUGUCGAUCCCCGGCAUGUCCGUCGGAACCCAAGCGAAGACAUCUGCAUUCUUUCGUAGAAAAUCGAUGAGACGCAUCCGCACCUCUUCCCCCAGGUUGGAGCCGAUCAUCGCCACAUGUUCCGCAUUCCCGUCGUUCAGAGGGAUCGGUACCAGAUCUUCAAUUGGACCGCCCCUCUCUUCAGUGAGGUCGUCGCGAGCAUCCAGCCCAUCAACUGGACAGGGGUCGGAUUGGUCGCUUCGUUGCAAGGCUAUGUUGUAACAGUGUCUGGCCAGGGCUUGGUCUCCUCAGACCUCUCCGAUCCCCUGGCUGGUGGAGAAUUUCAACUUCAAAUGGUAGGUUGACACGACGAUUCGGAGAGCAUUGAGGCCAGGUCGGUCGAGGAUUGAAUUGUAGGCUGACGGCGCCUUAACCACCAAGAAAUUUACCAGAGCCUUGAAUUGUCUUGGAUAUCGACCCGC